rnacentral:rRNA from 1 species
GACGAACGCUGGCGGCGUGCUUAACACAUGCAAGUCGAACGGAAAGGCCCUGCUUUUGUGGGGUGCUCGAGUGGCGAACGGGUGAGUAACACGUGAGUAACCUGCCCUUGACUUUGGGAUAACUUCAGGAAACUGGGGCUAAUACCGGAUAGGAGCUCCUGCUGCAUGGUGGGGGUUGGAAAGUUUCGGCGGUUGGGGAUGGACUCGCGGCUUAUCAGCUUGUUGGUGGGGUAGUGGCUUACCAAGGCUUUGACGGGUAGCCGGCCUGAGAGGGUGACCGGCCACAUUGGGACUGAGAUACGGCCCAGACGCCUACGGGAGGCAGCAGUGGGGAAUAUUGCACAAUGGGCGGAAGCCUGAUGCAGAAACGCCGCGUGCGGGAUGACGGCCUUCGGGUUGUAAACCGCUUUCGCCUGUGACGAAGAGUGAGUGACGGUAAUGGGUAAAGAAGCACCGGCUAACUACGUG